rnacentral:rRNA from 1 species
CCUACGGGGGGCAGCAGUGGGGAAUAUUGGACAAUGGGCGAAAGCCUGAUCCAGCCAUGCCGCGUGUGUGAAGAAGGCCUUCGGGUUGUAAAGCACUUUCAGUGGGGAAGAAAGCCUUGGGGCUAAUACCCUCGAGGAAGGACAUCACCCACAGAAGAAGCACCGGCUAACUCCGUGCCAGCAGCCGCGGUAAUACGGAGGGUGCGAGCGUCAAUCGGAAUUACUGGGCGUAAAGCGCGUGUAGGCGGUCUGAUAAGCCGGUUGUGAAAGCCCCGGGCUCAACCUGGGAACGGCAUCCGGAACUGUCAGGCUAGAGUGCAGGAGAGGAAGGUAGAAUUCCCGGUGUAGCGGUGAAAUGCGUAGAGAUCGGGAGGAAUACCAGUGGCGAAGGCGGCCUUCUGGACUGACACUGACGCUGAGGUGCGAAAGCGUGGGUAGCAAACAGGAUUAGAUACCCGGGUAGUC